UACGGAGGGAGCUAGCGUUGUUCGGAAUUACUGGGCGUAAAGCGCACGUAGGCGGCUUUGUAAGUUAGAGGUGAAAGCCUGGAGCUCAACUCCAGAACUGCCUUUAAACUGCAUCGCUUGAAUCCAGGAGAGGUGAGUGGAAUUCCGAGUGUAGAGGUGAAAUUCGUAGAUAUUCGGAAGGAACACCUGUGGCGAAAGCGGCUACA
rnacentral:rRNA from 1 species